UGUGUACUCCCUCCGUUACAAAAUACUUGACUUCCAUUUGUCCAAAAAUGGAUGUACCUAUAUACUAAAACAUGUCUAGAUACAUAUAUAUUUGACAUAUAGAAGACAUGUAUUGUGCAACGGAGGGAGUAGAAU
rfam:Triticum aestivum genome assembly, contig: Triticum_aestivum_CS42_TGACv1_scaffold_404983_5BL